rnacentral:misc_RNA from 1 species
GAAAUGCGAAAAGUAAUGUGAAUUGCAGAAUUCAGUGAACCAUCGAAUCUUUGAACGCACAUUGCGCCCGCUGGAACUCCGGCGGGCACGCCUGUCCGAGCGUCAUUUCAACCCUCAGGCCCCCCUUCGCGGGCGGGCCUGGUGUUGGGGCCCGGCCGCUACCCUGCGGCCGUCCCCUAAAUUCAGUGGCGGCCUCGCCGUGAUCCCUUGCGUAGUAAUGCACCUCGCACCGGAGAGCGCCGUGGCCACGCCGUAAAACCCCCAAUUUUCAAUGGUUGACCUCGGAUCAGGUGGGAAUACCCGCUGAACUUAA